GGGCGUAUAGCUCAGCGGUAGAGCGUCCGCCUUACACGCGGAUGGUCGGGGGUUCGAUCCCCUCUGCGCCCA
rnacentral:tRNA from 2 species